AGUAACACGUGGGUAACCUGCCUUAUAGUGGGGGAUAGCCUUUCGAAAGGAAGAUUAAUACCGCAUAAGAUUGUAGUAUCGCAUGAUAUAGCAAUUAAAGGAGCAAUUCGCUAUAAGAUGGACCCGCGUCGCAUUAGCUAGUUGGUGGGGUAAUGGCUCACCAAGGCGACGAUGCGUAGCCGACCUGAGAGGGUGAUCGGCCACAUUGGGACUGAGACACGGCCCAGACUCCUACGGGAGGCAGCAUG
rnacentral:rRNA from 1 species